rnacentral:rRNA from 1 species
UACGUAGGGGGCAAGCGUUAUCCGGAAUUACUGGGUGUAAAGGGUGCGUAGGUGGCAGGGCAAGUCAGAAGUGAAAGCCCGGGGCUUAACUCCGGGACUGCUUUUGAAACUGCCAGGCUGGAGUGCAGGAGAGGUAAGCGGAAUUCCUAGUGUAGCGGUGAAAUGCGUAGAUAUUAGGAGGAACAUCAGUGGCGAAGGCGGCUUACUGGACUGAAACUGACACUGAGGCACGAAAGCGUGGGGAGCAAACAGG